GCAAUAUAUUAAUAGAUUUGAUCUAAUGGUCACAUAUAGAACAUCUAAGAACUACAAAUGCAUUUCUUUUUGAGAAAGGAUGGGUUAUUUAUAAAAAUGAAUAUAUCCUAUAUCAUAAUGGAAGUCAAAACAAAUUUAAGAUAGUAAAAUGAUAGAGUAUGUUUUACCACAAAUGCAAUUCAGUUAGAAAUCACUAACAAAAAGAUAUCUAGAAAGAAAAAAAUCAGUAUAUGUGAAAACUAAAUAAGAAAGUUCUAAGUAACCCAUGGGUCAAAGAAGAAAUCAUAAUAUAAAUUAGAAGUUUUUAGAAUUACACCUAAAUAAAGAUACUACCUAUAAAAACUUAGUGGGAGCAACCAAAGCUGAAAAAAGGGUAAUUUUUAGUUUAUAUUUUAGAGAAUUUAAGCUUAUACAUUUGAAGAUAUAGAUGAAUUCCUAGAAAAAUAUAACUCCCCAAAACUGACUCAAGAAGAAAUAAAAAGCCCUGGUACAAAGAAGAUUUCAGAGUCCUGAGUUCAAAUUUAUCUUCAGAUAAAUUUAUCAGAAGUUUUACAAACAUGGCUAUUCCUUCUGUGUAGACUUAGAGAAUAGGAAGAGUAAUGUCUAGAAUAAAAUGCUCCUUAGAAGGAAUAUGAAAAAGAUAAUCCCAUAGAAAAAGAGGCAAAAGAUUUGCACAUUUUCAUAAAAGAGAACUUUCUUUUGUAUUUUUAUAUUUUUAAAAUAGCUUUAUUGAGGUAUAGUUUAUGUACCAAGAAAAACAACAACAAAAAAUCCCUGAACAUAUUUAAAGUAUACAAUUUAAUAAGUUAGGAGAUUCGCAGACAGCUGUGAAACCAUCACUACAAUCAAAGUAAUAAAAUAUCUACUACCUCCAAAAGCUUCCUCCUUCUGCUUAGCCCUCCCUUUAUUUGUGUGUUUGUGUGUAAGAACACUCAGCAUGAGACUUAUCCUCUUCACAAAUUUUUAAAUGUAUAACAUUAAUUUGUUAACUAUAGUCACUGUUGUUCCAUAAAUGUCAUAAAAAGACUCAUAAAAAGAUCCUUAAUCUUCUCCCCUCCCGACCUUCCCCUCUGUCUUGUCUAUCAGUGGUCUUAUUCAACAGUGUAUUCCCAGAGCAUUAGAAAACAGAAUAGGAUCUGGCUCAUAGUAGACUUUCAGUAAAUAUUUAUGUGAACUAUAAAUAAAUAUGCAUAGUUGAAAUCAUCCAAGUGGAAGAGAAAGCACAAAGAAAAAAAUGAAAGGAAUAAUAAAGAGGCUAAAGGUCAAAGUCUCCAGAACACUGGCAUGCAAGGUACUGUAGGAUUCAGGAGAGGGCCUGAAGAGUAGAUGGGAUGUAGAAGCAAGGGCAGAAAGGGGAGCAUAGCAGUGUGGUCAGGGCUAUCUUUGGCUGCAAGGAACUGAACACCUAACUAAGAGUGGCUUGAAUAAUAGGCUUUUAUAAUCUCACAUAAUAGUCUGGGGGUAGGUAGUUCCAAGGUUAAUUAGUACCGUAUUUUCUCCAUGUCAAAACUCUAUAUUAGCUCCUGCUAAUUCUCCUGGCUUUCCUCUAUGGUCACAAAAAGACCUGCCACAAUAUCAGAUAUUAAAAAUUAUGUCUUAAGAUAGGAAUUGUGCACAGUAGGAGCUUAUCCUUAAGUCUCAUGGGCCAGAACCAACUCCUAAACCAAUUACAGCGAAGGGGAAGGAGAUUUCCUUGAUUGGCUUAAGCCAGUCAUUUCCUGGGGCUGGGGAAGAGGCCUGCUGCCCUUGGGCAUCCUGCUGUUCUAUACCUGAACACAGCUGGCACCUGGGCGUAGGGAAGACAGGCAACAGUGUAUCUGCUGUGGGGUUCAAAGAAAGAGGUGCUCAAGGAAGGAGUCAGUUGAUUCAAUGACAGCUGAGAGGUCAUUCAUAUAAGGCAAGGAUGGAAGGUGAUUGCUGGAUUUGACAAUAAAGAGAAGGUUGAUGGCAGUGAUAACAGUAAUUUCUGUGGGGCAGAGGAGGAAGUUGGGGGGUGGGGGCUACCAGGUUAUGGUGAGUUAAAGAGUAAAUGGGAAACAGAGGGUGAAGGUAGGAAGGGAAGGCAGUGUGUUUGAGGAUCUGAUCUGUCAGGGAGAUGAGAGAUCCUGAGGCUGGCCUGAUCCAUUAUGCUCCCCAGCCAGGGCCAAAUCAGCUGGGACAUUCUCUGCUGGUGUAUUUCAGAACUUUUUGAAUAAUUCCCAGAACUGAUAAUAUUAGUUUAUUACUUGUUCCUCUGACCAUUCUAGUUACUUUUCUUUGACUUUUUAGUUCCCGCAUUUCUUUCAUGAAAUAUGGUAAUCAGAACUCUACAUAGGCUUUUGUUGAAUUUAAAAAUGGCUUUUCUCAUUAUAAAAAUGUUUUAUCACAAAAAAACACAUAAAACCGAAUGAUACAGAAGGAAAAUAAAAAAAAA
rnacentral:lncRNA from 1 species